AGGUCAAGUUAAGAAGAGCACUAGGAGAAUGCCUAGGCACCAAGAGGCGAAGAAGGACGUGACAAGCUGCGAAAAGCUACGGGUAGGAGCAAAUAUCCGAAGAACCGUAGAUAUCCGAAUGGGGAAACCCACCUCGUAAGAGGUAUCCCAUACCCAAUAAAUAAGUAUAGGAAGCGAACCAGGUGAACUGAAACAUCUAAGUAACCUGAGGAAAAGAAAGAAAACUCGAUUCCCAAAGUAGCGGCGAGCGAACAGGGAAGAGCCCAAAGUGCAGAAAGAAAAAAUAGCCAGUCGAAUCAUCUGGGAAGAAGAACCAAAGAGGGUAAAAGUCCCGUAGACGAAAGCGAAGAUAUCUAGCACAAAAGAGUACCACAGAACACGAGGAAUUCCGUGGGAAUAUGGGGGGACCACCCCCUAAGGCUAAAUACUACUUGGUGACCGAUAGCGAACAAGUACCGUGAGGGAAAGGUGAAAAGAACCCCGAGAGGGGAGUGAAAAAGAAUCUGAAACCUAGUGUUUACAAGCAGCGAAAGUAGACAAGAACUACGAUCGCGUACUUUUUGUAGAACGGGCCAGCGAGUUACGAUUAUUAGCAAGGUUAAACAUUACAGAUGUGGAGCCGAAGCGAAAGCGAGUCUAAAGAGGGCAAAAGUUAGUAGUCGUAGACCCGAAACCGUGUGAUCUAUCCAUGGGCAGAGUGAAGUUGAAGUAAAAUUCAAUGGAGGCUCGAACCGGGUAGCGUUUAAAAGCUAUCGGAUGACCUGUGGAUAGGGGUGAAAAGCCAAACGAACACGGAGAUAGCUGGUUCUCCUCGAAAUAGCUUUAGGGCUAGCCUCUAGAUAAGUGAAAAGGGGGUAGAGCACUGAAUGGUCAAGGGGCAUGCAUAUGUUACCAAGACCUAUCAAACUCCGAAUACCAUAUCACAAACUAGGGAGUCAGACUAUGUGGGAUGAGCUUCAUAGUCGAAAGGGAAAGAGCCCAGACCAUCAGCUAAGGUCCCAAAAUAAUAGUUAAGUGGGAAAGGAUGUGGAGUUACUGAGACAACUAGGAUGUUGGCUUAGAAGCAGCCACUCAUUUAAAGAGUGCGUAAUAGCUCACUAGUCAAGUGACUCUGCGCCGAAGAUAACCGGGGCUAAACUAUAUACCGAAGCUAUGGAACGUCAAACGUUGGUAGAGGAGCAAUGUAUGAAGGAAGAAGCAAAAGGCGAAAGCCAUUGUGGACAACAUACAAGAGAGAAUGCUGGCAUGAGUAGCGAGAGGUGAGUGAGAAUCUCACCCGUCGAAAACCUAAGGAUUCCUGAGCAAGGCUCGUCCACUCAGGGUAAGUCGGGACCUAAGGCGAGGCUGAAAAGCGUAGUCGAUGGACAACAGGUGGAAAAUCCUGUACCGAUACAAUCGUUAAAAAGGAAGUGGGGACGCAGGAGGAUAAUAAGAGCGCCCAGUUGGUGAGGCGUGCAAGCGCAAAGUCUGAAAAGUAGGCAAAACCGCUUUUCGAAAAAGAUGAAGCGUGAUGCGGAUCGAAAACAAGUAGAGAAGCUUAAGACUCCACACUGCCAAGAAAAGCCACUACAAGAGAAGUAUCGCCCGUACCGCAAACCGACACAGGUAGGUGAGGAGAGAAUCCUAAGACGAGCGGAAAAACCUUUGUUAAGGAACUCGGCAAAAUGACCCCGUAACUUCGGGAGAAGGGGAACCCCUGUAAAAGGGGGUCGCAGUGAAAAGGCCCAAGCGACUGUUUACCAAAAACACAAGUUUCUGCUAAGUUGAAAAACGAAGUAUAGGAGCUGACACCUGCCCGGUGCUGGAAGGUUAAGGGAAAGAGUAAGCGCAAGCGAAGCUUAGAACUGAAGCCCCAGUAAACGGCGGCCGUAACUAUAACGGUCCUAAGGUAGCGAAAUUCCUUGUCGGGUAAGUUCCGACCCGCACGAAAGGUGUAACGAUUUGGGCACUGUCUCAACAAAGGAUCCGGUGAAAUUGUAGUAGCGGUAAAGAUGCCGCUUACCCACGACAGGACGGAAAGACCCCGUGGAGCUUUACUGUAGGCUGAGAUUGAAUUUUGGGAUUAAAUGUACAGAAUAGGUGGGAGGCAAAGAAUAAGGUACGCCAGUAUCUUAGGAGCCGCCGUUGGGAUACCACUCUUUUAAUGCUAGAAUUCUAACCUAACCCCAUGAAUCUGGGGAAGGGACACUCUCAGUUGGACAGUUUGACUGGGGCGGUCGCCUCCGAAAGAGUAACGGAGGCGUUCAAAGGUUCCCUCAGCACGGAUGGAAAUCGUGCGAAGAGUAUAAAGGCAGAAGGGAGCUUAACUGCGAGACCAACAAGUCGAGCAGAUGCGAAAGCAGGACUUAGUGAUCCGGUGGUACCGAGUGGAAGGGCCAUCGCUCAACGGAUAAAAGCUACCCCGGGGAUAACAGGCUUAUCUCCCCCAAGAGUCCACAUCGACGGGGAGGUUUGGCACCUCGAUGUCGGCUCGUCUCAUCCUGGGGCUGAAGUAGGUCCCAAGGGUUGGGCUGUUCGCCCAUUAAAGAGGCACGCGAGCUGGGUUCAGAACGUCGCGAGACAGUUCGGUCCCUAUCCGUCGUGGGCGUAGGAAAUUUGAGAGGAGCUGUCCUUAGUACGAGAGGACCGGGAUGGACAAACCGCUGGUGAACCAGUUGUACUGCCAAGUGCAUAGCUGGGAAGCUAAGUUUGGAAGGGAUAAGAGCUGAAGGCAUCUAAGCACGAAGCCCCCCUCGAGAUGAGAUUUCCCUCGAAAGAUAAGACCCCUUGAAGAAAACGAGGUAGAUAGGCUCAAGGUGUAAGUGUAGCAAUACAUUAAGCUAGCGAGUACUAAUAGGUCGAAGACUUGACCAAA
rnacentral:rRNA from 1 species